rnacentral:lncRNA from 1 species
GUGGAGAUAAUGAGACAAGCCAUAUUCCCUGCAACCACGAUGGGCUGCAUCCCUCAGAACCAUAGGUCAAAUGAAUCCUUUCUCUCUCCAGCUGCUUCUGUCAGAGCAUUUAAUUGUAUCAAUCAGAAUGGAUAGAACACAUCACCACGAUUCCUCCAAAGAUGGAUUCAAGUCCCCUCAAACCAGGAGCCAACAUUAAGUCCUUCAUUGACUUCGUCAGUUUUUCUGCUGCAAUGAUAAGAAGAAUAGCUAACACCAUGGGAAGGCGAUUCUCCGAAGCUCACGGAAUCUGGGGAUUCACUCAUCGUCGUAUAAACACACCAUGUGGGUUAAAACGAGGACAAAUCCAGAUACUCACCAUUAGGGAAUGUCAAUGCAUUUCAACUGCUUGGCCCCACAAGGUCAAAACACAGCCACAGUGUCUUCUCACAAUCCUCCAGGCUCUUCCCAGAUUACAGAGAGUGAUCUGGUCCUAUUCAAGAGGACAGAGUAUCCACCAGGCUCUGUCAAAGCUGCUCAGCAAAGACCAGAUAACCUCAGUUUGCUGUGAAGGAUAGCAGGGGUUGCUCCCGGGGUACCUGGUCCUCCUGUGUGAAAUGGCUUGCUUUCUAGUCAUGCAACAUGUUUCAGUGCAACAAUAGAAACCCUAAGUAAGAUGAGUUGGUACCAGGAUUGUGGGUAUUGCUAUCACAGACCUGACCAUGUUGUUUGAGGGAGGAUUGUGGAAGGACUUUGGAACUUUGGGCUAGAAAAGCCAUUGAGUGUUGAGAGCUCAGUGGGAUGUUCUGUGGGUGCUUGGAAGGUAAGAGUGUUGAAAGCAAUGCAGACAACGGAGGCCUGGCUUGGGAAGUUUCAGAGAGAAGCAAAGACUCUACCAGGCCACUUGUGUGAGGAAUCUGUGUUGUCUGGUCAGCUGGGGCUGAAGAAUCAGCUGUGAUUAAGAAAUCAGCGUCACCGAGGUGAAAUCUUCUGGGAAGUGUUUUUUCAGGGUCAGCACACAGAAGUUGUGUUCCACAGAUGGCCAGUGUUGUAUCUUGCACUGGCAGACAAACUUCAUAGUAUAAAAAUCACCCAGGCAGACUCGUUUUGAAGGCAUGAAGGGGUCCUAGAAAGCAGCUAAGGCUUGACAUCGUGAGAGGCCAAGAAAGGACAUUGGUGACGGUGCAGCUGUAGUAGUAAUUGAACCCCCAGGGUUAAAGGAGCCAUGCUGAGAAAUUGAGGCCUUGUACCAUGAAGAGAGCCAGGACAGGCUCCUGUCGAGUGCAGCCCAGUUGCAGCAGAAGGCCCCAGUAUUCUGAAGAUGCCAGUACCAUGGGAUGACCACCAAGACAAUAGCACUGUGGAGUGGUGCCAGCCUGAGCCUAGAAGACAAGCUGUGUGGAAAGACAGCAGGGUCAGAGGAGCGACCCAAGCCCUCUGGCGGAGCCCAGGUGAUGCUGAGUGAAUCCCAGAUAAUUGCACAGCGAGUUAGCCCAUACUUCUGAGGUUUGAUUUUGUUUUACUCAGAUUUUGACCAUGCUCUGGUUCUUCCCUCUUGAAGUAAAAAAGUAUUUAUUUUUGAUUUUAUAGGAUCCCACAAUUGAGCGACUGAAUUAAAAAAAAAAAGAUUUUAGGUUAAAGGGGACUUUAGAUUUUUAAAAAGGCUGGAUUUUAAAAUGUAUGAGUUUGUAAAGACUUUUAAAAUUCAUAAACUAUUUCCUAGUGGGAUGUUGAUAUUCAUGUACGAUCUUCAGGAUGAACAAAAAAGGAAAAGUUGUGACUUAACAGUGUCAUGCUAGUGUGUCAAGUUGACAAGGAGUCAGUUGUUCAGCUAGCUUUAUGCCAACUUGACACAAGGUACAGUCAUCUGAGAGGAGGGAACCUUAAUUGAGAAAAUGUUUCCAUAAGAUCCAGCUAUUUUCGUCGGUCGUGGUGGCACACGCCUUUAGUCCCAGCACUUGGGAGGCAGAGGCAGACAGAUUUCUGAGUUCGAGGCCAGCCUGGUCUAUAAAGUGAGUUCCAGGACAGCCAGAGCUAUACAGAGAAACCCUGUCUCGAAAAACAAAACAAAAAACAAAACAAAAAAAGAUGUAGUUAUUUUCUUAAUUAGUGAUUGAUGGGGAGGUUCCAGCCCAUUGUGGGUGGUGCUGUCACUGGGCUGUGACCCGGGGUUCUAUAAGAAAGCAAGCUGAGCAAGCCAUAGGGAACAAGCCAGUAAGCAGCACUCUCCAUGACCUCUGCAUCAGCUCUGGCCUCCCAGGUUCCUUCUCUGUUUAAGUUUCUGUCCUUGCUUCCUUCAGUGAUGGACUACAAUGUGGAAGUGUGAGCUGAAUAAACCCUUUCCUCGCCCAACUUGCUUUUGAUCAUGGCAUUUUGCUGCAGCAAUAGAAACUCUAAGAAACCUAUGGAGGGUUUGAACCUUGUGACAUUCCUGUCUCAGCUUCCUGAGUUGUUGGGGUUCCAGAGGGAGCGAUCAGGCAAGGAGGAAAGUCUUUGCUUUCCAUAGCCUUCUGAGCACCCAGUUAAGAUCACCAACAGCAUGUACAUUUUAAGAUGUAGCUCGGUUGGUGGAGUACUUGUCUAGUAUGUGCAUAG